GGCGGACGGGUGAGUAACGCGUAAAGAACUUGCCCUUUAGACUGGGAUAACAGAGGGAAACUUCUGAUAAUACUGGAUAAGUUAGUAUAUCGCAUGAUAUGCAAAUGAAAGCUACGGCACUAAAGGAGAGCUUUGCGUCCUAUUAGCUAGUUGGUAAGGUAAGAGCUUACCAAGGCGAUGAUAGGUAGCCGGCCUGAGAGGGUGGACGGCCACAAGGGGACUGAGAUACGGCCCUUACUCCUACGGGAGGCAGCAGG
rnacentral:rRNA from 1 species